GUUAACAAAAACAAAGUGCAACAACUGAGGGACACCUUAUCAUUAAUGGGCCUGUUUGACUACUAAUGGACCAUUACGUAAGCCCAUUUAGCGCUCCGUAACAUCCGCUUGAUGUCGGGCCGUUAGCCGAGCUCAUAUGACGGCCCGCGGCUGCUCCGGCGAGCAACUUGCGAUGCGAGCGAUGCCGUCGGACGAAGAACAGGCUGUGAAGCCGACGAGGUGAGGAUAGAGGUGCAGGCGAAAUCAAGGGCGCCGGGAAACAUCGUCGGAGGAGGAAGAAAGCACAGCUAUUGAAUGCGAGUAGGGUAACAUUUAUGACCUUCUACAUAGAAGAUAUCGCUUGAAGGAUUAUGCUUUCUUGCUUUUGUGAUAACAAUGGCAACUCGUUGCAUUACCCAUCUGCAAAAUGCUAUGCGAGCACAAGAAUGGAAAGCGAAACUUUACAUUUGAAAGAUUUCUAAAGGAAUAGAAUUCAACAAAGCAAUGCGGUACUCCUCUGAAAUCAAGAAAAUGACUACAAAUUUUCAGAAGAAGCUAGGGCAAGGUGGGUAUGGCAGCGUCUACAAAAGAAAGCUACAAAAAUGGAUCAUUGGUGACCGUUGAGGUUCUUGGAAAUAUUACUGCCAAUGGAAAAGAAUUCAUUAAAGUGAUAGCCACAAUUGGAAGGAUACAUCACAAAAUAUUGUUCAGCUCUUGGGAUUCUGUGUUCAAGUAUCUUCCAAAGCACUUGUUUAUGAAUUCACGCCAAAUAAAUCACUAAUUAAGUAUAUAUUUUUGGAAGGGAGCAAAAGCAGCAUCUUCUCGUGGACACAAUUGCAUGACAUAAGCCUGGGCAUAGCUCAAGGAAUUGAAUAUCUUCAUGAUGGGUGUGAUCAGCACAUCCUUCACCUUGACAUUAAACCUCAGUACACCUUACUUGAUCAAUAAUUCAAUCCAAAGAUAGCUGAUUUUGAGCUUGCAAAACUGUGUUUAAAGGAGAAGAGCAUGGUUCACUGACUGGUGUAAGGGGGUGAUGGGCUAUAUAGUGCUAGAGAUCUUCUUUGGCACAUAAAUCUGUCGCCUAUACUUCUGGAAUGUUGCUACUAGAAAUGGUUGAUGGAAAGAUAAAAUUUGAUGUUGAAAUCGCUGAUGAGCUUUAAAUCUGUUGCCUAUACUUCUCACACUGAUUAAAAAUUGUGGGGGUUUGAGUGGGUAGCAUGUAUCACAAAACAAUCAAUGGCAGAGAUGUGAAGAAGCAGAGUUCUAUCUGAAUAGAUAUCUGAUUAUAUUAGCAGAUGAUGUGUUUCAAAAGAUGAAUUUCUGUAACUUAAUAGUUCGAAUAACAGUUUUGCUAUGUUUAGGGAACAAUAUGGUCUUCUUUCUAUUAGUAAUUACUGCUUGAAUGAAUGAAUCUGU